CUCGAUUUGAGCAAGCAGACGGAAACGUAGAGGAAGGUAAACACAGGAGCGAGCGAGCUGUGUGCCGAGGAGGGUUCGGAUAUCUCGAAGGGGUCGGUCUCGUCGACGGAACUGAAAAUGGACACUGUGUUCGCGCCUCGAGUUCGCUGCUACCUGAAGAAUCUUCUCGAACAUACGAUGCAAAAUCUGACGACACCGCACCCGAUCCGCCUGGUCAGCGCUAGCCACGGGGGUCCAAAGGAUGGAACCAAGCAGCUAUGUGACAGGUUCAAGAUAUCCCUGCCCUACGCCGGUCAGACCGUGACAUGGGAAGUAAUUUUUCAAGCACACAAGCCAGAUCUUCCGCCAGAUUUUAUCUUCGACGAUACAUCAUUCCUGCCAAACAUAGAGGAAGUGCCCAGCCUCUGCGACUGGGACUCCGAAGACGACGAAGCGCUGACAAACGUAAUCCAGGAGUUGUUGGAGCAGUACCGCAAGCACCAGGUGUCAAUGCUCGACGAUUCGCCGAGGUUGCAGUUCGAGUACUCCUCCCUAGUCCACCAGUCCGACAUUGCCGAGUCAAACAUACAGGUGCACCUCAACAAGAAGAAUCCUGGCAGUCCAGUAAGGUUCUGGAUCACGUUGCCCAUUGACUUCUCCAAACUCCCUCCCGUGUUCGCAAAGGAGAACCUCUCCGAAGACAUGGCCAUCCUCCAAGUCACGUUCCAAAGUCCGGAGGGGAGCCGCAUAUUGCCUCAGCUAUUUCUGUCUCCACGUGUUGAGGCACUUGGUGGCUCACUAGCGGUGAAACUCCCAGCAUUCAACAAGGACAGCUGCCUAAUGGAUUAUGUGCCACAGGUCAAGGAGCUACUUGAAAAGAAGGUUGAACAGGUGUCAACAUCGUUUGCCAAGCGUAAGGAGUACGUGGCUGCUUUCCUCAACCUCUUCGGCAGAAACCUUUUGGAGUUUGACACAGAGGGAUUUGCAAGUCUGUCAUUUCUCUUCGAGCACGAUGACUUCUUUUUCAUCCUGAUCAUUGCCAUCCCGCGGACGUUCCCGCAAGACAAGCCGUCCCUGACGUUUCAGUCGGCAUACCACACCAGUUGCGGAUGGCCCUACAGCAUUACCUGCACCGACUACCCGUACAGUCCGAGGUGGGAGGCAUCCGAGAUGGCUGAUCGAGCAAGGACCUUCGUGAUGGAGUAUGUCCCGAGCUUCCAGACCAGCUCUGUGAAGAACCGCUGAAGUGUCCCACUGUUCCUGUCCUUGGAAAAACACCUGGUCUUUUAAUUUUUGUACAUACAAUUUUUCCAGCUUGAACCGGAAGUGGCUGCUGGUCAUGGCCUCGUUCCAUUUGGACUGCAACAGCUGAUCAAAACGAGUCAGCUUUCCCACACAGCUCGGCGCCACGUCGUACCCAAGAUCUGCCUCACUGUACUGAAACUCUUUCAGCUUCAUGGUUCCGCUGAAGAGCAGCCGCCUCUUCUGAAUGAAUGAAUAA